AUGCCUUGGAUUUAUAGUCAGGGGGUGUGGCUGGGGUCCACUCUCCCUUCAACCACUGUAAAUGUGAAAUCCAGUGAGCAAGUGGGAGGAAUGAGAGAAUAUGGGGACUCUUUCUCUUUCUCCCUCUGUCUCUUUCACUCCACAGUUCGAAGGAUCCUUAGGACAUAUGCUUGUCAUUAUCCAUUGAGGAAAAGCUCUGAGUGAGUGUAAGGGAAAUCCACAAGGCAUAUAUCAGUCAUAGACUGGCGGAACAUUUGCCCUCACACAUCCUUUUUCAAAAUGUACAUUCUCAAUAGCAUCCAAAAACAAAUAAUUGCGGUCACGCCGCCAUCUGAAAUGAAUUGCCAGAUUGCCCUCUUAAUACUGCCUCAUUUCAGAUGAAUUUGUGUUGCUGAGUUAUGCCUGAAACCGGCCUGAGACAGAAAGGGGAUAUCAGCACUUCAUCAGCAUCACAAAAAAAAACUUUCUGUAAAAGAGUUUCAUCAGAUCUGGAUACAUCAUCAUGGGAUGAUUAUGGAUGGACUGGAUUUUUUACUAGUAAUUUGUAAUGAUGCAGUGUGGGAUGAAGCUGACCAUUACAAUUUUAAGGCGUUGUGUGGGCAGAGACUUUAUGAUAUGAAUGAGAGAAAUCAUAACACUCAUUGUGGUGCCUGUAGGUUGUAGUUACAAGAUUAAUUUUUUCAUGUUGUUUACUCAUUGGCUGCACCAGCCAGAAAAAAAUAGAUAUUGUUGGUGUGUAAUUUGAUGUAAAGAAGUACAAUUUAUGAUAAUAUUGUUGUCAGAUUUUUUUUCUUUCCCCAUUCAAGUAAAUGGGAGCUGUACUUGAAUUAAUGGAAAUAGCUGCCUGGAGAUGCCCAAGAUGGCUGCAGAGUGGACUGACUGACUGAAACGGGACUUUGGUCUGGGUUUCUGGGGUGUUUUUAAAGAGGUGAGUGACACAGAACAUAUAUAAAAAAAAUGCUUCCCACAUCCUCACUUAUCUCACGUUAUCUGGAUACCUCAUUCAUCAUUUAGAUUAUCCAUGAUUAUUUUGAAAGUUUUCAUUUCAAAACUAUUUCUUUUAGUGAGAUGUAACUUGCUUAAUCAGAUGUGCAGUUUUUCCUGAAGAUGGGUUGGAAUGGUGCCUUGUUGAUUUAACCUUUGCCCUGAAAUGGUCUUCCAAGAGUAUCAUGAAUAAGUUCAGCUGAAAUGUCCUCACGGCAGCCUGCAGAGAUUACAAAUCACACAAAUGUGUUUGUAAUGGCUGUAAAAUAGAAAAUAAAUGCAGGGAAAGUGCAGCUUACA
ensembl:lncRNA